GGACGAGCCUCUGGAGAGACUCCCUCUUUUUUCAAAAAGAGGAUUGGGCACCGAAGGAGCAAAUUCGCCGCGGCGAAUAAUCUCUCAGGUAAAAGGACAGAGUGGACGCU
rnacentral:ncRNA from 2 species